rnacentral:piRNA from 1 species
UAGGUGUAGUUUUCUGAUUGG